rnacentral:rRNA from 1 species
AUGGAUUAGUGGCGGACGGGUGAGUAACGCGUGAGUAACCUGCCUUUCAGAGAGGAAUAACAUUUGGAAACGAAUGGUAAUACCACAUAACAUUACGUUCUCGCAUGGGGAUGUAAUCAAAGAUUUAUCGCUGAGAGAUGGACUCGCGUCCGAUUAGCUAGAUGGUGAGGUAACGGCUCACCAUGGCGACGAUCGGUAGCCGGACUGAGAGGUUGAACGGCCACAUUGGGACUGAGACACGGCCCAGACUCCUACGGGAGGCAGCAGUGGGGAAUAUUGCACAAUGGGGGAAACCCUGAUGCAGCAACGCCGCGUGAAGGAAGACGGUCUUCGGAUUGUAAACUUUUGUUCUUGGUGAAGAAAAAUGACGGUAGCCAAGGAGGAAGCCACGGCUAACUACGUGCCAGCAGCCGCGGUAAUACGUAGGUGGCAAGCGUUGUCCGGAAUUACUGGGUGUAAAGGGAGCGCAGGCGGGAAAUCAAGUUGGAUGUGAAAUGUCGGGGCUUAACCCCGGAACUGCAUCCAAAACUGAUAUUCUUGAGUGAAGUAGAGGUAGGCGGAAUUCCGAGUGUAGCGGUGAAAUGCGUAGAUAUUCGGAGGAACACCAGUGGCGAAGGCGGCCUACUGGGCUUUAACUGACGCUGAGGCUCGAAAGUGUGGGGAGCAAACAGGAUUAGAUACCCUGGUAGUCCACACUGUAAACGAUGAUUGCUAGGUGUGGGGGGUCUGACCCCCUCCGUGCCGGAGUUAACGCAAUAAGCAAUCCACCUGGGGAGUAC